rnacentral:lncRNA from 1 species
AAAAGCAGACCAUAAGUAGGUGAGUGUCGAUAUUUAGGAGAGAUAGUAAGUUUGAAAUUAGAGAGUAUGACAGCGAAAAACACUUUCAAUUCUAUUAAAGCCAAGUUCUGUCCAGGACACACCCGAGCUCCCAAUCCAAAAGGUAUAUAGGCUUGUGAAGACUUGCAAGCUCCAGCAACUCCAUUAGUGAACCUCUCAGGAUUAAACACGUCUGCAUCAGCUCCCCAAUAUUCAGGAUUACGAUGCAAUGCUGGUAGCCAUAUCCAAGUGUCCAUUCCUUUUGGAACCUUCAACUCACCAAGCUUCACAUUUUGCAUUGCCUCUCUUGAAACCAAUGUCACUCCUGGAUAAAGCCUCAGAACCUCUUGGAUCACCAUUUUUAACUGCAUGAAAAACACAAAAAUCAGUUAAAAAUACGGAUGCAGUGCAACUUCUCAAUUUAUAUCUACGUAUGUGAAUGUAUCUACCACUUUCAUCUUGCUGAGCAUAUUGUAGUCUAGGAGCUGUUGUCCCUUACAAAUCUCUAAAACUUCAAACCGAGCACGGUCUUGCCAUUCAGGAUGUGAAGCUAGUAACAUUAAACCCCAAAUUGCUGCAAGAGCAGGGGAUUGGUACCCACCAAAAAUCAUAUUUUUGCAAUUGUCAAUUAUGAACUCAUCUUCUGUUAACUUUCCAAGCUCACCAUUCUUGGAACCUUCAAUGAUAGCUUGUAAUAAGUCCUGAUGAGAUGUAGAUCCACUUCUCUCCUUAGCUAUGUCCAUUAUCAUUCCAUGGAUCUCUUUUGCUAAUCUCCAUGUUUUUCUAUUCCUUUCUAUAGGAAGAAAUCUUAUUCACAAACAUAACAACGAGUAUCAGUCGUCUAAGUGAUUUAGAUAAAACUAAACUGUAAUAUCUUGAAUUCAAAUUCCAAUUAGACUGAUUGUAUAGAAAAAGGUGAAAGAUAUACAUACCUUAGUAAAGGAAUCCCAAGAGUUGUGGUUUCACCCAUAGCCUUGAGGAGUUCAUGACACUCGGGAAAUACUUUAAUUCCUUUGUGAUGAUCACUUCCAAACAUUAUUUUUGAGGCAAUAUAAGUAGUGAAGAUUCUCACAUGCUCACCCACCACUAUAUCAAUGAUUCCACCCUCACUUUCUGUGUCUAUUAUCUUCUCCCAUGCUUUAACUAGCAUACUGCCAGAUUCCCCCAUCAGAUUCACCAUAUUCUGUAUAUAGUAAAUAUUAUUUUUUAUUAAAGCAAAUAAUUUUAAAUAUUUGUUUAUCAACUAGUUUUAAUUAGCAUGACAAAUAAAAUCCAUAAAUUUAAUUACCUUAACCUUGUUGAUGUAGAGUUGAGGGGCAAUGGUCUUCCUUUGAUGAUACCAAACAUCACCGUUUGCAGUAUUAAGGCCCUUGCCUAAGAGAACUCCUCUGUCGUUUUGUAGAUAAGCUGGUUUUCCAAGUUCAAAUGAUGUGAAAACAUUUAUUUCUCUCACUAUGCUCAGAUUAUUCACGUACAACAAUUGUAUUCCACCAAGUGCAAACUUGAAUAAUUUACCUGUCAUAAGUAAUGAACAUAACUAGGAUUUAACGAAAGAGAAUUGAUUUAGCAUCUGAAAUCUUAAACUCGAAUGUUAAUAAAAACUAAAAAUAUAUGAAAAAGGGGAAAUUAAUAUGUAUGAAAUACCAUAGUUUUUGGCCCAAUGCUUGAGAUAGGGUAAGACAAUUAAGGGACCAUCGAUCUGUGGAGUUUCAGAAUUUUGAGAAACCAUUCUCUCCAUUUCUGGUAUGUUUCCCAACAGCAGAGAAGGUGGAGGACCUUUGAUUCCUUGCUCUCUAAUAAGCUUAUUAGUUUUAUAGCUCUCAUGCUUCCACCACGCAACAUAACAUAAACAAAUGACGAGAAAACUCCAUAAAAGAAACAUCAUAGACUGAAGCAUUGAUAGAGAUUUACACCCCAACUGUGUUGCUGGAUUCAUGGACGUGGCUCUUUAAAUAUCUGCAAGUGAUAAAUAAUAUUUAUUAAAUUAUUAAAAAUUAUUAAAAAUUAUUUUUUUUCUUAAAUUAUUAAAAAUUUAAAUCUUUUUUAUUUCUGGUUAUUUUUAUUUUUUUACUUUUAAUCUAGGCCUGUACAUGAAAUAUACAAAGUUUACAUAAAAAAUAUAUUAAGUAUUAGUUUUAUUUGUUAAAUCUAUAAAUUUAUGUUUACUCAUAAUUAACGGUUAAUUAUAUGCAAUUUUUAAUAAUAAUUAAUUAAUAUUAUAUAUAUCAUUAUUUGUUGCAAGUGUUUUGCAAAACUCACACAAAAACAGUGUUUGGUUUUGGAUAUUCUGAAAAUCCAAAAUUCUUAAACCUAGCUAAGCCUAUGGAGCUUUUCAAAUUAUGGUUCCUUUAAGGUUUGUGGCACACGUGGGAGAAGGAAAUCAGAUCAAAAUGAGAACAAAACUACUAGAGGAAAUGCAAAAAGAGGUGCAAAGGAAAUGAAAACUAUUGAUUGUAUUGUUUUGUACAACUGAUUUGAAACGGGAUCAUUGAUACUCCGUCAAGAGUUUUAACAUUAAAACAUGAUAGUUGAUAUUUUAUUAGAAAUUUAAAUCAAUAUCAUUUGAUUAAAUAAGAUGUUUGAUAUUCUGUUAAGAGUUUUAACACUAAAAAAAAAUAAUUUAUAUUUCAUCAAGAAUUUAAAUAAAUAUCGUCUGAUUAAAACGAAAUUAAGAAAGAUUAAAAAUUAAAAUUUCUUGUAAAAUUUUCAAAAAUUUUUGAAGUCUCAUACAGAUAAAAAAAAAAAAACUACUUAUAAUAGCGAAAAUUUUUAGUUAAAAUUUAUGAAAAAUUUUAUAAAUAAUUAAAAUAUAAAAUUAAUUCUUAAAUGAUAGAAUUUGGGUCUAUAGCCUUUUAUCGCAUUUUUGAAAAUCGUUCAUCUUGAAUUUUUUUUUAAAAAAAAUUUAUUGUGGGUCUCCACCAAUGUCACAAGUAUAAGUUAAAUACUUUUUUUUAUUACUUAAAUUCACUCUAAAUCUUCUAUAAAAUGUAAGUCUAAUUACACUGUAUUAUGAAUUUUAAAUAUUAUUAAAUGUGAAUUUUUCAAAAAUUUUAAAUUUUAAACAUAUUAUUAAAUUUUCUCUAUGUAUGCAUUGAAUUUUAUUAAAUUUUUUUAUUAAAUCGAAUCAAAUUAAAUUAAAAAAUUAAUUUAAAAAAAAAUUAAAAUCAAAUCUAACCAAACCAAAAUCAAAUCCAACCAAACCAUAAAUAAAUAAAUUCAAAAACAAGAUAGGAUUUGUAAAGCAAUAGCCAUAAAUAAAUUCAAAAGCAAACAAAAAAAGAAAAAUGCUAGCGAAAUAAAAGGCUACGGUGCUCACCAUGAGUUUGUUAGGAGGUGUUUUGAUAUUUUGGAGCCAUGUGGGGUCAACGUAAGACUUCCUGUGUUUGGAUAGAAUACCAUCUCAUUAAUUUGACAUGAUGUGUUUAGCUCUAUAAUUUUGUUUAAAUUUCUAUGAUCUACGCUUCUCCCUCUUUUAAUUAGCUUUUCAAAUUUUAUGCUUUUUUGUCAGAUAAGUUAUUAAUUCACGGUAUCCUAUUAUAGAAAUACAAUAGCAUCAAUAAUUAUAAUAUUAUUUCGUUUAUUUUAUAAAAAAUAUUUUUAUAUUUUUUAAUAUUUAAUAUAUUUAAAAAAUUUAAUUAAUAAAAAUUAUUUUUAUAAAAAAAUUAAAUUAUUUUUUAAAAAAUAACUAUUCACAUUUUAAAAUUUUUAUUAUGAUUUCUAUAUAAAUUUAUUAAUAUAUUUUAUUUUUAAAUAAAUUAUAUUAUUAAAAAAUAUUGUUUAAAAAAAUAUUUUUAAUAAAAAAAAUUUUCAAAUAUAAAUUAUUUUUAGUAAAUGAACCAAGCCUUAGAUUUGAAGGAAUGGAACACAAUUUAUAUCAUAUAAAUUUUCAACAAAAUAUUGAACAUAAAAUUAUAAAAUAACACAAUUUUCAUACAAUAAUACCAUGAUUGUUCAUUUUUCAUGUAGAGCGCCAUAGUUUUAAUAAACCACUCUCAGUUAGAAGUUCGUUGGGACUAGAAAAAUACUCGAAAACUCAUCAGAGUUAUAAAAUGCCAGGAAGGAAGUUAGGGCUGUGAAAAGCCAAGGAGUUCAAAAACAAUCGGAAGCUCAUCAGUGUUGGAAAAAAUAUACAGAAAUCCGUCAAGAUUAUAAAAGGUCAGGAAGACCGUAAGGGAUGUAAAAAGACAAGGAGCUCGUUAAGGCUGGAAAAAUACACGGAAACCCGUCAGGACUAUAAAAGGCUAAGAAGUUCGCCAGGACUGUAAAAGGCUAGAAAGCUCAUAGGGGCUAGAAAAUGCCUAAAAGCUCAUCAAGGAAGGAGAAAGCAUGUCAGGGCUAGGAAAUGCCUAUAAGCUCGGAAGCACGUCAAGGCUACAAAAUGCCCGUAAGCUCAUCAAGACAUUGCUAUAUCACUCAGAUCGAUUUUUGCCAGACAAGAUCUUGGACUUGACUGGUCGGUAGGGCAAGUAAGAAGAAAGCAAUGACAUCAUACGCUCAAGUCGAACAAACAAGCCACAUACCCCAUAUCAUGAAGACAAUUGUCACAUUCGAAUCUAAUGAACCAGAAGUUGCAGGCUACUCUCCAGCAAUACAAGACUUGGGGGGAGGCGUCAGUCAUGGCUCUCAGGGAAAGGGAAGAAGUCCUUGUCGCCACACCGAGGACUCAUACAGAGGCAAUUAAAAGAUGGUUUGAAGGGAAUUCCGAGGUUGAAGAAGAUGAAGUGGACAAUACUCCGAAAGGUGUGGACUAGAAGCUAGUACGGGCUGUUCAAAGAUACCAAAAGGAAUAAGAAGAGGAUUUUGGCAUGAAGGAUGCCUCACCUCUUUUAGAGGAAAUUUUGGCAGAAACUUUUCCAACCAAGUUUAAGCUACCUUGCUUGGACAAAUAUGGUGGAACUGCAGAUCCCAAUAGCCACAUGGUGAUCUUCAAGACGACCAUGUAGCUUCAAGAUGUCAAUAAUUUUGUGUUAUGCCGAGUGUUUCUAUUAAUGAUCACAGGUUUGGCUCAGAAAUGGUAUCAACAUCUGAGCCCAUAUUUGAUUCAAAACUUUAAGCAGUUUGCUACAUUAUUUAAAUCUCAAUUUAUUACUUGUAUACCUCCUAAAAACUCUUCUCUAACUUGCGAAAGAUUUGCCAAGGAGAGGGCGAGUCUUUAAGAAGCAUCGUCUCAUGUUUCAAUGCAGAAGCAAUACAAGUAGAAGAAUUAAAUCAUGAGAUAGCAUGUGAAGCAUUGAAGAAAGGGACACAUAACGCCAACUUCAUGGAUUCCCUAAUCAAGAACCUAAUAGCUACGUACCAACAGCUAAUGAAAAAAGCCAGGAAAUGCAUCAGGCUGGAUGACGAGGUCCGAGCAUUGAGAUAGGUAAAAAGGGCGGGCCAAAAGCAAAAUCGAAAGUCGAAGGGGCGAGAAUAUGAAGAAGACUACAAAAGCUACCAAGUCUCCCAGAGUAGGGAUGAUUAAAGUAAGUACAAGGAUUAUACUCCGUUGGAUGAUUCAUGAAUACGUAUUCUAAUGUGCAUUAGAAAAAACGAUAAGGAGGUCAGGUGUCCUACUAAGCUCAAUCUAGAGAGAGUCAGAAAGAGAGAUAGGACCAAGUGAUGUCGUUUUCAUGAAGACCACGGGCAUAUGACAAAAGAUCACUACAAAAAAAUUGUGAAAUUGCGACCAAAAUUAGCGACCAAAAUUUUUGGUUGCUAUAUAGCAACCAAUCAGCGACCAUUCUGCUACUACAUGAAUGAAAUAAUAUUUUUAUUUAACAAAAAGCUCAACGACCAAAAAUUGGUCGUUAUUUGGUAGCUAUUUAGCGACCAAAUCUUAAAUCGUCGCUAAAUUUAGUGGAAAUUAGUGGUGCAAGAUAUUUGCGACCAUAUUUGCGACGAAAUUGCGACUACUUUUUUGGCGGGAAUAUUUUGCGACCAUAUUUAGCGACUAAUUAUUUUAGUCGCUAAAUAGCGACCAAUCAGCAACCAUUUCAUUUUUAAAAUUUUAAUUUAAUUUUUAAUUAAAUUUUAUUUUAUUUAAAAUUUUAAAUUUUAAAUUAAGUGAUUUGAAUUCGGUAUACAAAAUGACGUCGUUUUGAUAAUUUAAGAAUACUCUAACCUAAUCCCUAAUCCUAAUCCCUAAUUAAUCCCUAAUGCCUAAUAAAAUUAACCCUAAUCCCUAAUCCCUAAUACCUAAUCUCUAACCCUAAUUCCUAAUUAAUCUCUAAUUCCUAACAAAACUAACCCUAAUCUCUAAUCCCUAAUCCCUAAUCCCUAAUCCCUAAUCCCUAACCCUAAUCCCUAAUCCUAAUCCCUAAUCCCUAAUCCCUAAUUCCUAAUUCUUAAUCCCUAAUCCCUAAGAAAAUUAACCCUAAUCUCUAGAGGUGAGCACAAAUCGGUUCAAACCGAAAGAACCGACCGUACCGAAUCGAUUUGAAAAUUUGGUUCGAUUUUUUAUACAUUUCGGUUCGGUUUGAUUUUUAAUUUUAAAAUUUUUUAUUAUUUCGAUUCGGUUCGCUUUUGAUCAGAAAAAACCGAAAAAACCGAACCGAAUCGAUUAAUGAUAAUAAUAUAUUUUUUCAAUAAUAUAGAGAAAUUAAAUCAUGUUAAGAUUAAAAUAUUUUAAUUAAAUUUUAAAAUACUAAAAAUAAAGUGUAAAAAAUAAAAAAAUUAUUAAAAAAAUUAUUAAAAAUCGAUUCGAUUCGGAUUUAAUUUUUUGAAAAAUCGGUAAUUUUGGUUCGGUUCGGUUUUAAAUUCAAAAUUUUUCGAUUAGACCGAACCGAACCGAAAUCACCUAUACUACGUCGUUUUGAAAUGUACCCUUAUUUGCCCUAAAUCUAAAAGUCGUGCCACUGAGUAGAGACGCUAAUCUCCAUUCCACGCCGCCUCACGUCACACAUGCCUCUGCCUCUUCUCUGAGCACUGAGCUCCACCAUUUCCAGCGGGUCCACUGUCCACCGUCCAACCAACCUCCACUCUCCUCCCGACAUCGACCGAUUAACCAUCGCAGCUAACUCGAGUCAUCGAUCAUCAUUACGUUGUGGAUGCGCGACUUAGUUAGCAAUGCCGACUCCUCCUCACCUCACUGUCGCUCUCUAGUCUCUCUGUCACCGGUGGAUUUGUAGUUUUCUCCCAAGGUUUUUUCAAUUUCUCUAGCUUCUAACCCAAAUCCUCUCUCCCAGUACUUGCUUCUUUGUGUUGUUGACAUUUUUUUCGCUUUCUGAUGUGUUGCAUGCAAGAAGACCCUCUUCGCGGCCUCCACACAAUUGUCGGUGUCGGUCGUCGCUCUCCACGCAAUCGUCGGUCGUCGCUCUCCAGUCCAUUGGCUCUCCGCGCCGUCAGCAACUUGGUUGUCCUCAAUCCUCUGUCCCCUUGGAAACGCUGGUCCCUCUCUCUCUCUCUUUAUUUUUUUUUUAUUGGCUUCUCUUCUCUCUGCAUUUUGAGUAUUGGUCUUCGCUUUACUCAGUUUCUCCUCUAUUUUCUGUUUAUGGCUUCUCCUCAAUUUUCAUUUGUUUAUUUAUUUCAAACUUUUUUAAUUUUUCGCGUUCUUUUCUUAUUUUCCCCAUCUUUGUUUGUUCGGUGGGGUUUUAGUUUAGGAUGCAAUUUUGGGAAUUUUUCUUUCUCCCCAUUGUGGAUUACUGCAGUUUGGUGAUGGAGUUUAAAAGUGGUUAUAAGAUUUUCCCAAUCGAGGGACACAUUGCUGGUAAGAUGAUUUCGGUUCAAUUUGAGUACUGUUAACACAUUCUUCAUUAGGAAUUUAACUGAGAACUAACUCAAGAAUGCCAUUGUAAGACUGUCUUUAUUAUUGGAUUGAUGCAACUUGGAGAUAUUGCCUCUUUUUAAGCAAUUGGAUUUGGGGCUUGAGAUAUUUUAUCCUUGAUAGCUCAAUCAUUUUGUUUUUUUUCUUUUGCUUGUUCAUGCGAUAUGAAUGUUUUGUGAGUAUAGUUUUUAUUUGUCUUUGACUUUUGUUAAUGAUAGAAAGGCUUAGCUGUUAUUGUUGAUAGUUGAGCUUUUUACACAUGUUGCUGCUAUUCAGAUUUUGGAACAUAGGAUUUAGGUUUAGAAUUCCAGGUGGAUUAUAAUUUUAUUGAUAACCGAAAAUGUUAUUUUUGACUGAUUUUAAUAAUCACACAGUCAAAAAGAAAAAAUAGUCUAUAAUUUGACACGGAUAAAGAAAAAUAACAUACUUUUAUAUAGGUUAAAUAGAUUUUCUUUUCAAAGGUUUAAUAGAGUAUUAAGUAAGAAGAUAGUCUAUAAUUUGACACGGAUAAGAAAAAAUAGUCUAUAAUUUGACACGAAUAAGAAAAAUGAUAAGAAAAAUCAACAAGAGUUAAGUGGUAGAAUAUUAAUUNNNNNNNNNNNNNNNNNNNNNNNNNNNNNNNNNNNNNNNNNNNNNNNNNNNNNNNNNNNNNNNNNNNNNNNNNNNNNNNNNNNNNNNNNNNNNNNNNNNNNNNNNNNNNNNNNNNNNNNNNNNNNNNNNNNNNNNNNNNNNNNNNNNNNNNNNNNNNNNNNNNNNNNNNNNNNNNNNNNNNNNNNNNNNNNNNNNNNNNNNNNNNNNNNNNNNNNNNNNNNNNNNNNNNNNNNNNNNNNNNNNNNNNNNNNNNNNNNNNNNNNNNNNNNNNNNNNNNNNNNNNNNNNNNNNNNNNNNNNNNNNNNNNNNNNNNNNNNNNNNNNNNNNNNNNNNNNNNNNNNNNNNNNNNNNNNNNNNNUAAAACAAGAUAAAAAUAAAAAAUAUAAUUACCAUCCAGCUAAUUCACUUCAUUUAUGUUAAUAUGAAACUCAACCUCAUAGGCUGCAUCAGGGUUUCAUAUUUUUUGAUCCAGUGUGUUUGGAUGGAUUGUCCAUAGCUGCAUUUCAUAAUAAGGUAAGAAGAUACUUUUGAAUUGCAGCCGUUUAUAUUAACAUGCUGUGCAGCACUGAGUGCAGCAGCAACGUGCGCAUGCUGUGCAGCACUGCACUUGCUGCAAGUGUAGCAGCAAGCAUCUGCUGUGCAGUGCAGCAUUGCACUUGCUGCCCAGCAAUGCACUUGCAGCCAGUGCACUAUGCACAACAGCACUUACUGCAAAUGCAGUCUGAGCUACUGUUGUGCACAACAACACUUGACCGAUUGACUGUAAUUAAAAUCAUAAUCAAAAUUAUCUCAAUUUACUUUAAUUCCUCCUCCCAUUUUUAUGAAUUUAAUUUAUAUAUUUUUACUAUACAUAUCUUGUGUAGGAAAAUGAAUGCGUGAUGAACUACAGGCAGCGAAGAUGGGACAGCCGUCUUCCUCAUUGAUGCCAUCAUCAUCUGAUAGUCCUCUAGCUCAUAGAUCCCUUGGUGAUUCACAUAUGGAUUAGCAUGAUGUCAUUACUCACUGACUUAAAUAAUAUAUUUUAUGAUAUGAAUUUGAUACUAUUUGGAUCCAUUAUGUAUUUUGAGAUAUUUUAAGUUUUUUAGUGUUGAACUAUAGUAAUGUUUUGGACUUUUAGAUUGCAGAAUUAUGAAAUGAAGUUGAUGUGUAUAUAUUGUCUUUGAUGUUUUAUGUAUUGGAAUAUGUGUGUACAUAUUGAUAUUAUAGCAGGUUUAUGAAUUUAUUGAAAAAACGAUAUAAAUUAGAUUUAAAUUUAUUUAUUAGUGACUAAUUAGCCACAAAAACAAAUUAAAUAAUAAAUAUUUUUUAAAUUUUACUAUUAAUUUGCGACGAAAUAGCGACUAAAUGCUUUUUCCUGGUGCGAUCAAAUAACAACGAAAUAGCGACCGAAUUAGCGACUAAAACAGCGACCAUUUCGCGACCAAAAUGCAAAUUAGCGACCAAAUUAGCGACCAUUUCUCGACCAAAAUUUAACGACUAAUUUACUUCCACCCAGCGACUAAUAUUUCUAAUACUUAAUUUGCCAUGACACCAAAUUAGCGACCAAAAAAUGGUCGCUGAUUGAUCGCUAAUUUAGCGACUAAUUUUCAGAUUGUCGCCAAAACUUUAGCGACUGGCCAAACACCGACCAUUUCGUUUUGGUCGCUAACAAUAGCGACCAAAUCUUUCUUUUUAGCGACCAAAAUUUUGGUCGCUAAAUCACUGUUUUUUGUAGUGAGAGGGCAAAAAGUUGAAAGACAAGAUUGAGGGGUUAAUCAAGGACGAAAAACUCAAAAAAUUUUCCAAAAAGAGGAGAAAAGAUAGGAGAUCUGAACAACUCAUGAGACCACCCCUGAUAGAAAACCUAUGGGGAUUAUUAUGUAAUUGCAGAAGGACAUAGUGAUUCUAAGGAAGCCAAGAGAUCACUGCAACUCAAAAUUAUGCAGCGAAAAAGAAAUAUUUAUUUUCUCAUUUAGGAUCUUAGUGCUUUGUUUAAUUCGAAAGGAAGGAUAAGGAGACUAACCUUUUAGAUUUGAUGAAAAGAAACUGUUUCGGACUGAUGGUGUUGCUUCUGAAACGAAUACCCUCAAUGGUAUCCACAUGAACGUUUCCGUCUAGAGUAGUAGCUCUCUGAACGGAUGGAUUAGCUAUGUGCUCCAAAUUUGUAACCUCAAGAAAACGAUUACAAAAAACCUUUUUAAAAGAAAACGAAAAGAUUUUUUAUCUGUAACAGUUACAAAUCGGCUACAGAUAUUUUAAAUAUUAUUAUCUUAUAAUAAUAACAAAUAAUUAAUAUUAAUAAUAAUAACAUCUUUAUUAAUAUUAUUAUUAAUUAUACUAAGGGCUCUUAGAGCAUUAAUAGGACGUAGCACAUCAAUAACGUUCUUUUGUGUGUGACCAAAUAGGCUCACAUUAAUUGACAAUAAGUCCAAUCCAAUAAAGUUCAUAAAUUAUAAACAGCCUCUAACAAGACGUUAUGACUACCCAAUUAAUAUUAGGAUCGAUAGUCCAAUAAAGUCUAAUAAAUAAAACAUGUAUUAAUCCCUUUAUCACACGAUAUCUAAUUUGAAUAUAAGUCAUGGUCAAUGUCAAACUUAUAAUGUUCAAACUUAUGAUUUCUCGAUCUCUAAGUAGACUGAUAAAACCAAAUUAUAUUGAUCACAUUAUCGAUUUAUUUGAGCACGACCAUGCAUUUCUCAGUCUCACUUAUCAAGGGACCCAGAAGAUAUUUCUCUCAAGAGAGGAAUAAAUUCUAUCUUGAUUGUUCAAUAUCCUCUACAUAAUUUCUAUUAUACUCAAUUAUAACCUUUAUGAUUAUCCGAUUAAAGGCAAUGUUUGGUUAUGUCAAAAUAUAACAGUCCUUAUGUUGGAAAUUAUGACAAUCUCAAGUCAAAGGAUUAAAAUAUAAAUAUCUUGAUAUUCACUUAUGGCAAUAAUCCAUGUAGUAAUCUCAAUGUGGGUCUAUCCAAUACUUUAUUCUCUAACAAGUAUGUAUGAUUAUUGAUUUAUAUCAAUAUAUACAUAUUCAUCUCAUGAUUAUCAAUUAAUAAUCAUACUAGUCAUAUUUUAUUAUUAUCAUCAUAAUAAUAAGUAACUAUAAUGUUAAUUAUUAUUAUGUAACAUGCAAACAAAUAAUAAUGAUAAUAAAAAUCUCGUUUAUUAAUAAACAAAAUGACAUAUAAAAAGGUGCAAGAUAAUGGUGUAGGGCAAAUACACUAACCGUCAUGAUAAGAGAAAAUAAGCAAAUCACAGAAGGUGUAACAGAUGGUCUAGUAAGCAGGGUGAAAACUGGAAGGGACUCUUUAAGGUCUCAAAGGUUAUUCGCCCAGGGUCUUAUAUGCUGGCCAAAUUAGAUGGCCGAAUCAUGGAGAAUUUGUAAUUUGAGAAAAUUUUAUUAAUAAUAGUUAAUGAGGUAUUUUUCUUUCAUGUGUUGUGAUUCGGUGACAAGAAUCAAUGGAUUGCCUUCUUCAAAAAUUUUAAAGAGCACUCAUCAAAGACCAAGCGUCUGACCCAUAUAAAUAAAGCUUCUAGGCCAAUAAGUCAAAAAUCUGUCAGGCCAGAAAUCUAGGCAUUGGACUGCAGAAAUAUAAACAAAAGCUUCUAGGCCAAUAAGUCGAUAAUCCUUCAGGCUAGAAGUUCGAGCGUUGAAUUGCAAAAAUAUAAACAAAAGCUUUUAGACCAAGAAGUUGAAAAUUUGUCAGGCGAGAAGUCCGGGUGUUGGACCUUGAAAAUAUAAACAAAAGCUUCUAGGCUAAUAAGUCAGGAAUCUGUUAGGCUGAAAGACCGAGUAUCGGACUCAUAUAAAAAAAUAUUCUAGGUCAUAAGUCGAGAAUCCGUUAGGCCGAAGGACCGGGCGUUGGACCCAUUAAACAAAGGCAUUGAUGCCAGACCAUAAGUCAUAAAUCUUUUAGGCCAGAAGACCAGGUGUUAGCCCCACUUUAUAAGAUAUUUUUACAACAUUUCAUGAUAAGUCUCAAGGCGGGAAUACGCUAGGCUAAUCAACCAGGUAUUGGUCUCAUUUCACGAGAAAUGCCAAACCUCAAGGUGGGUAUAAGGCAGGCCGACCUACUGAGUAUUAGUUUCGCUUCACGAGAAGUUUCUAAGGCAUUUAAUGCUAGGCAGCAAAGCGGAUAUACGCUAGGCUGACCUAUCGGGUGUUAGACUCGAGAAGUUUUAAGGCAUUUGAUACCAGGUCGCAAAGUGGGUAUACGCCAGGCUAAUCUACCGGGUGUUAUUCCUGUUUCAUAAGAAGUUUCUAAGGCAUUUGAUGCCCAGGCCUCAAGGUGGGUAUGAACUAGAUCAUGCGAUUAAAAACAUUGGUCCCAUCUCACAAUGAGAAUCACAGACAUAUGUCGCUUCUCUUAUAAUUACUUCCGAAGAUUUAGGACUUUUUGCAAAAGAGGAAAGCCCAUUGUAGGCGGACGAGACUUUUUAAUGGACGAGACUUUUUGACGAUUGACGAAGGCAGAACGGGCUACCAAGUGAGCAAAUGAAGUUUGCAAGGAGCUUGCAAGGACUAGAAAAAUUCCCAAAAACUUGUUAGGGCUAGAAAAUGCACGGAACCUCAAUAGGGAUGGAAAAUGCCAAGGAGCUCAUUAAGGCUAAAAAAUGCUCGGAAACUUGUCAAGGCAAGAAAAUGCCUAAUUAUUUAAUUAUUUAUGAAGUCUAAUUAAAAUAAAAAAUAAUACAUUCGGCGUAAUUGUUAGCACAAAUUCAUAAAUCAAAAGCAAUAUAAAUUUAAGAAAUUAAAAUUUCAAAUCAGAUAACACAUUCUAAAUUUUUCUACAAAAUUAAGAAACUUCAUCUAGACAAAUACAAAUCAUACAAACCCAAAUUGAUAAAUUCUAUAUAAAUCCAAAGAAAGGAAGAGUCAAAGUAAAGUAAAUCUAGAUCGAAUUCUCAUAUAGUUAUAAUUGAAACACUAAGAAAAAAAAUAUAAAUUCACAAUCCAUUCAAUAAACCUAAAAACUCCAAAAGAUAAAAAUUAAAUUAAUAAUUUAGUAAAUAUAAAUCGAGAGUGUCGAGUCACUAAUAUAUUUUUCAUUGAAUGAUGCUAUGCAAAUUAUUAUCACACAAACGAAUCUUGAAACUAAAUUUAGUUGUCGUGAUAUGCAAAAUUGGUAUCGAUUAGUAUUUUGUUAAGAUAUGUAGCUUCUAAAAUAUGGGAUAACUAACAAAAUAAUCAUAUAAAAUUUAUACUCACUUAACACAUGUCUUAUCGAUAAUGAAAAUGACCCCUUAACAGAAAAAUAUUUUUUUUUAUAUAAUUGACUCUAUUUUAUAUGAAUAAAUACAUAAAAAUUUAUACAAAUUUAACACUAUUUAUUUUUUUUAUAAUUUUAUUAAAUUUAUGUAAAAAAUAUUAAUAUUAUAAGAAUUUAUAUAAUAUAAGAUAACUUGAAAAACAAAAUAAUCACAUCAAAUUUAUACACACUAUUACCACAUGUCUUAAUUUGAUGAAAAGGACCAAUCACACUAAAAACAACCUUUUUACAUGUGGUACCCUCUUAUUACUGGUGUUUCAUGUCAUAAUUAAGAAUUACCAAUCAACGUUGAGAAGAAAACAAAGAACUUUGUAUUUUUUUUUUUGAAGAAAUCUCCUAUUAUUAUUAAUGGGCCACCUCUCUUCAAAAAAGUUAAAGAAUAUGAUUAUCCAGUGAAAUGUCCAUGGAAUUUUUCUACCUCUUUUUAUUAAUGGAUUAAUUUUUAUUUUACUUUCUUUUUCUCUCUCAUUAAUUUUUUUAUUUCACGUAUUAUAAUAUUCUUGAAAUAAUUGAAUUAUUGUACAUAACCGUUGUAUUGUAAAAUCACUUCCUCUUAAGAUAGGAUUACCCAUAAAGCAGUUUUUCUUUACAAGAAAUUAUUUUUAAUACUAAAGUACAUGAACAUAUUGCAUGAGAACUUAUUACAUGAAGCUCAACUUUCAAGCAAAGCACUCAUAUCUUUUGAAUAAGGAGAUUCACACCAUGCUCAGGCUCCAAAAGCAGACCAUAAGUAGGUGAGUGUCGAUAUUUAGGAGAGAUAGUAAGUUUGAAAUUAGAGAGUAUGACAGCAAAAAACACUUUCAAUUCUAUUAAAGCCAAGUUCUGUCCAGGACACACUCGAGCUCCCAAUCCAAAAGGUAUAUAGGCUUGUGAAGACUUGCAAGCUCCAGCAACUCCAUUAGUGAACCUCUCAGGAUUAAACACGUCUGCAUCAGCUCCCCAAUAUUCAGGAUUACGAUGCAAUGCUGGUAGCCAUAUCCAAAUGUCCAUUCCUUUUGGAACCUUCAACUCACCAAGCUUCACAUUUUGCAUUGCCUCUCUUGAAACCAAUGUCACUCCUGGAUAAAGCCUCAGAACCUCUUGGAUCACCAUUUUUAACUGCAUGAAAAACACAAAAGUCAGUUAAAAAUAUGGAUGCAGUGCAACUUCUCAAUUUAUAUCUACUUAUGUGAAUGUAUCUACCACUUUCAUCUUGCUGAGCAUAUUGUAGUCUAGGAGCUGUUGUCCCUUACAAAUCUCUAAAACUUCAAACCGAGCACGGUCUUGCCAUUCAGGAUGUGAAGCUAGUAACAUUAAACCCCAAAUUGCUGCAAGAGCAGGGGAUUGGUACCCACCAAAAAUCAUAUUUUUGCAAUUGUCAAUUAUGAACUCAUCUUCUGUUAACUUUCCAAGCUCACCAUUCUUGGAACCUUCAAUGAUAGCUUGUAAUAAGUCCUGAUGAGAUGUAGAUCCACUUCUCUCCUUAGCUAUGUCCAUUAUCAUUCCAUGGAUCUCUUUUGCUAAUCUCCAUGUUUUUCUAUUCCUUUCUAUAGGAAGAAAUCUUAUUCACAAACAUAACAACGAGUAUCAGUCGUCUAAGUGAUUUAGAUAAAACUAAACUGUAGUAUCUUGAAUUCAAAUUCCAAUUAGACUGAUUGUAUAGAAAAAGGUGAAAGAUAUACAUACCUUAGUAAAGGAAUCCCAAGAGUUGUGGUUUCACCCAUAGCCUUGAGGAGUUCAUGACACUCGGGAAAUACUUUAAUUCCUUUGUGAUGAUCACUUCCAAAUAUUAUUUUUGAGGAAAUAUAAGUAGUGAAGAUUCUCACAUGCUCAUCCACCACUAUAUCAAUGAUUCCACCCUCACUUUCUGUGUCUAUUAUCUUCUCCCAUGCUUUAACUAGCAUACUACCAGAUUCCACCAUCAGAUUCACCAUAUCCUGUAUAUAAUAAAUAUUAUUUUUUAUUAAAGCAAAUAAUUUUAAAUAUUUGUUUAUCAACUAGUUUUAAUUAGCAUGACAAAUAAAAUCCAUAAAUUUAAUUACCUUAACCUUGUUCAUGUAGAGUUGAGGGGCAAUGGUCUUCCUUUGAUGAUACCAAACAUCACCGUUUGCAGUAUUAAGGCCCUUGCCUAAGAGAACUCCUCUGUCAUUUUGUAGAUAAGCUGGCUUUCCAAGUUCAAAUGAUGUGAAAAUAUUUAUUUCUCUCACUAUGCUCAGAUUAUUCACGUACAACAAUUGUAUUCCACCAAGUGCAAACUUGAAUAAUUUACCUGUCAUAAGUAAUGAACAUAACUAGCAGUUAACGAAAGAAAAUUGAUUUAGCAUCUGAAAUCUUAAACUCGAAUGUUAAUAAAAACUAAAAAUAUAUGAAAAAGGGGAAAUUAAUAUGUAUGAAAUACCAUAGUUUUUGGUCCAAUGCUUGAGAUAGGGUAAGACAAUUAAGGGACCAUCUAUCUGUGGAGUUUCAGAAUUUUGAGAAACCAUUCUCUCCAUUUCUGGUAUGUUUCCCAACAGCAGAGAAGGUGGAGGACCUUUGAUUCCUUGCUCUCUAACAAGCUUAUUAGUUUUAUAGCUCUCAUGCUUCCACCACGCAACAUAACAUAAACAAAUGACGAGAAAACUCCAUAAAAGAAACAUCAUAGACUGAAGCAUUGAUAGAAAUUUACACCCCAACUGUGUUGCUGGAUUCAUGGACGUGGCUCUUUAAAUAUCUGCAAGUGAAUUAUCUUAUUUAUAUAUAACAAAAUUAUGAAAAAAAAUUUGUUUUUCUUAAAUUAUUAAAAAUUUAAAUCUUUUUGAUAUCUGGUCAUUUUUAUUUUUAUUUUUAUUUUUUUACUUUUAAUCUAAGCCUGUACAUGAAAUAUAAAAAGUUUACAUAAAAAAUAUAUUAAGUAUUAGUUUUAUUUGUCAAAUCUAUAAAUUUAUGUUUACUCAUAAUUAACGGUUAAUUAUAUGCAAAAUUUAAUAAUAAUUAAUUAAUAUUAUAUAUAUCAUUAUUUGUUGCAAGUGUUUUGCAAAAUUCACACAAAAACAGUGUUUGGUUUUGGAUAUUCUGAAAAUCCAAAAUUCUUAAACCUAGCUAAGGUGGGAGAAGAAAAUCAGAUCAAAAUGAGAACAAAACUACUAGAGGAAAUGCAAAAAGAGGUGCAAAGGAAAUCAAAACUAUUAAUUGUAUUGUUUUUGUACAACUGAUUUGAAACUGCAUCAUUAUACUCCGUCAAGACUUUUAACAUUAAAACAGAAUAAUUGAUAUUUUAUUAAGAAUUUAAAUCAAUAUCAUUUAAUUAAAUAAGAUGAUUGAUAUUCUGUCAAGAGUUUUAACACUAAAAAAAAAUAAUUUAUAUUUUAUCAAAAAUUUAAAUAAAUAUCGUUUAAUUAAAAUGAAAUUAAAAAAAUUAAAAAUUAAAAUUUCUUAUAAAAUUUUCAAAAAUUUUUAAGUGUUAGACAAAUAAAAAAAGAACUAUUUAUAAUAGCGAAAAUUUCUAGUAAAAAUUUAUGAAAAAAUUUAUAAAUAAUUAAAAUAUAAAGUUAACACUUGAAUGAUAGAAUUUGGAUAUACAGUCUUUUGUCGAAUUUCUGAAUAUCAUCCGUCUUUGAAUUUUUUUUUCUUUAAAAAAUUUAUUGUGGGUUUAAGUUAAACACUUUUCUUUAUCACUUGAAUUCGAUCUAAAUCUUUUAUAAAAUUUAAGUUUAAUUACUCUGUAAUGAAUUUUAAAUAUUAUUAAAUGUAAAUUUUUCAAAAAAUUUAAAUUUUAGACAUAUUAUUAAAUUUUCUCUAUGUAUGCAUUGAAUUUUAUUAUUAAAUUGAAUUAAAUUAAAUUUAAAAAUUAAUUUUUAAAAAAAUUAAAAACAAAUCCAACCAAACCAUAAAUAAAUAAAUUCAAAAACAAGAUAGGAUUUGUAAAGAUAUAGCCAUAAAUAAAUUCAAANNNNNNNNNNNNNNNNNNNNNNNNNNNNNNNNNNNNNNNNNNAAAAUGCUAGCGAAGGCUACAGUGCUCCCCAUGAGUUUGUUAGGAGGUGUUUUGAUAUUUUCGAGCCAUGUGGGGUCAACGUAAGACUAUACCAUCUCAUUAAUUUGACAUGAUGUGCUUAGCUUCUAUAAUUUUGUAUGGCAGCUAUAGCUUUUAAAUUUCUAUGACCGACGCUUCUCCCUCGUUUAAUUAGCGUUUCAACUUUUCCGCUUUUAUUGCCGAUAUGUUAUUAAUUCACGGUAUCCUAUUAUAGAAAUACAAUAGCAUCCAUAAUUAUAAUUAAGUUAUGCAGUAAAUUGAAAAAAUUAAUUGAAUUAAAUUAAUUUAAAAUUUUAAUUUAAUUUUUUAUUUAUUUUAAUUCAAUUGAAUUUAAUUUUUAAUUUUAAAAAUUUUAAUUAUUUUAAUUUUAAUUAAAAAAAUAAAAAAUUAAAUUCAACUAAUUAAUAAUAAUAAUAUAUUAUUUUUAAUAAUACAGAAAUAUUAAAUUAUAUUAAAAUUAAAAUAUUUUAAUUAAAUUUUAAUAUAUUAAAAAUAAAAAUUAAAAAAUAAAAAAUUUAUUAAAAAUUUAAAUUGAUGAAAUCGAAUCGAAUUGAAUCUGAUCGGUUCUGUUCUAUUCGAUUUCUGAUCAAAACCAAUUCAGUUCAAUUUUUAUAAAUACUAAAAUUUCGAUUUUCGGUUUAUUUAGUUCGAUUCAAUUUUUAAUCAAAUUGACCGAAUGAUCACUCCUAAUUAUAAUAUUUAUUUAGUUUAUUUUAUAAAAAAUACUUUUAUAUUUUUUAAUAUUUAAUAUAUUUAAAAAAUUUAAUUAAUAAAAAUUAUUUUUAUAAAAAAAUUAAAUUAUUUUUAAAAAAUAAAAACUAUUCACAUUUUAAAAUUUUUAUUAUGAUUUCUAUAUAAAUUUAUUAAUAUAUUUUAUUUUUAAAUAAAUUAUAUUAUUAAAAAAAUAUUGUUUAAAAAAUAUUUUUAAUAAAAAAAAAUUUCAAAUAUAAAUUAUUUUUAGUAAAUGAACCAAGCCUUAGAUUUGAAGGAAUGGAACGCAAUUUAUAUCAUAUAAAUUUUCAACAAAAUAUUGAACAUAAAAUUAUAAAAUAACACAAUUUUCAUACAAUAAUACCAUGAUUGUUCAUUUUUCAUAUUGAGCGCCAUAGUUUUAAUAACCCACUCUCAGUUAGAAGUCGGUGGGGCUGGAAAAAUACUUGGAAACUUGUCAAAGUUGUAAAGGUCAGGAAGAAAGUUAGGGCUGUGAAAAGCCAAUGAGGUAAAAGCCGCUCGGAAGCUCAUCAAUGUUGGAAAAAUAUACAGAAACUCGUCAAGCCUCUAAAAGGCCAGGAAGACCGUAAGGGAUGUAAAAAGACAAGGAGCUCAUUAAGGCUGCAAAAAUACAUGGAAACCCGUCAUGGCUAUAAAAGGCUAAGAAGUUCGCUAGGGGUAUAAAAGGUUAAAAAGCUCAUAAGGGCUAGAAAAUGCCUGAAAGCUCAUCAAGGAAGGAGAAAGCAUGUCAGGGCUAGGAAAUGCCUAUAAGCUCGGAAGCACGUCAAGGCUACAAAAUGCCCGUAAGCUCAUCAAGACAUUGCUAUAUCGCUCAGAUCGAUUUUUGUUAGACAAGAUCUUGGACCUGACUAGUCGGUAGGGCAAGUAAGAAGAAAGCAAGGACAUCAUACGCUCAACUCGAACAAACAAGCCACAUACCCCAUAUCACGAAGACAACUGUCACCUUCAAAUCUAAUGAACCAGAAGUUGCAGGCUACUCUCCAGCAGUACAAGACUUGGGGGGAGGCAUCAGUCAUGGCUCUCAGGGAAAGGGAAGAAGUCCUUGUCUCCAUACCGAGGACUCAUACAGAGGCAAUUAAAAGACGGUUCGAAGGGAAUUCCGAGGUUGAAGAAGAUGAAGUAGACAAUACUCCGAAAGGUGUGGACUAGAAGCUAGUACGGGUUGUUCAAAGGUACCAAAAGGAACAAGAGGAGGACUUAGGCAUGAAGGAUGCCUCACCUCUUUUAGAGGAAAUUUUGGCAGAAACUUUCCCAACCAAGUUUAAGCUACCUUGCUUAGACAAAUAUGGUGGAACUGCAGAUCCUAAUAGCCACAUGGCGAUCUUCAAGGCGACCAUAUAGCUUCAAGAUGUCAACAAUUUUGUGUUAUGCCGAGUGUUUCCAUUAAUGUUCACAGGUUUGGCUCAUAAAUGGUAUCAACAUCUGAGCCCAUAUUUGAUUCAAAACUUUACGCAGUUUACUACAUUAUUUAAAUCUCAAUUUAUUACUUGUAUACCUCUCAAAAACUCUCCUCUAACUUGCGAAAGAUCCGCCAAGGAGAGGGCGAGUCUUUAAUGAGCAUCGUCUCACGUUUCGAUGCAGAAGCAAUACAAGUGGAAGAAUUAAAUCAUGAGAUAGCAUGUGAAGCAUUGAAGAAAGGGACACAUAAUGCCAACUUCAUGGAUUCCCUAAUCAAGAACCUAGUAGCUACGUACCAACAGCUAAUGAAAAAAGCUAGAAAAUGCAUCAGGCUGGAUGAUGAGGUCCAAGCAUUGAGAGAGGAUAAAAGGGCGGGUUAAAAGCAAAAUCAAAAGUCGGAGGGGUGAGAAUAUGAAGGAGACCACAAAAGCUACCAAGUCUCCCAGAGUAGGGAUGAUUAAAGUAAGUACAAGGAUUAUACUCCGUUGGAUGAUUCAUGAACACGUAUUCUAAUGUGGAUUAGGAAGAACGAUAAGGAGGUCAGGUGGCCUACUAAGCUCAAUCUAGAGAGAGUAGGAAAGAUAGAUAGGACCAAGUGAUGUUGUUUUCAUGAACACCACGGGCAUAAGACAAAAGAGGGAAAAAAGUUGAAAGACAAGAUUGAGAGGUUAAUAAAGGACGAAAAACUCCAAAAAUUUGCCAAAAAGAGGAGGAAAGAGAAGAGAUCUGAACUCGAGGCAACAACUCAUGAGACCACCCCUGACAGAAUACCUAUGGGGAUUAUUAUGUAAUUGCAGAAGGACCUAGUGAUUCUAAGGAAGCCAAGAGAUCACUCCAACCCAAAAUUACGCAGUGGAAAAAAAUAAUCUUUGUUUCCCUUUUCAGGAUUUGAGUGCUUCGUUUAAUUCGAAAUGAAGGAUAAAGAGACUAACCUUUUAGACUUAAUGAAAAGAAACUGUUUCGGACUGAUGGUGUUGCUUCUGAAACGAACACCUUCAAUGGUAUCCACACAAACGUUUUCGCCUGGAGUGCUAGCUCUCUGAACGGAUGGAUUAGCUAUGUGCUCCAAAUUUGCAACCCCAGAAAACGAUUACAAAAAACCUUUUUAAAAGAAAACGAAAAGAUUUUUUAUCUGUAACAGUUACAAAUUGACUACAGAUCUUUUAAAUAUUAUUAUCUUAUAAUAAUAACAAAUAAUUAAUAUUAAUAAUAAUAACAUCUUUAUUAAUAUUAUUAUUAAUUAUACUAAGGGCUCUUAGCACAUUAAUAUGACAUAGCACAUCAAUGACGUUCUUUUGUGUGUGACCUAAUAGACUCAUAUUAAUUGGCAAUAAGUCCAAUCCAAUAAAGUUCAUAAAUUAUAAACGGCCUCUAACAAGACGUUAUGACUACCCAAUUAAUAUGAGAAUUAAUAGUCCAAUAAAGUCUAAUAAACAAAACAUGUAUUAAUCCCUUUAUCACACGAUAUCUAGUUUGAAUAUAAGUCAUGGUCAAUGUCAAACUUAUAAUGUUCAAACUUAUGAUUUCUCGAUCUCUAAGUAGACUGAUAAAAUCAAAUGAUAUUGAUUACAUUAUCGAUUUAUUUGAGCACGACCAUGCAUUUCUCAGUCUCACUUAUCGAGGGGCCCAGAAGAUAUCUCUCUCAAAGCGAGAAAUAAAUUCUAUCUUGAUUGUUCAAUAUCAUCUAUAUAAUUUCUAUUAUACUCAAUCAUAACCUUUAUGAUUAUCUGAUUAAAGACAAUAUUUGGUUAUGUCAAAAUAUAACAGUCCUUAUGUUGGAAAUUAUGACAAUCUCAAGUCAAAUGAUUAAAAUAUAAAUAUCUUGAGAUUCACUUAUGACAAUAAUCCAUGUAGUAAUCUCAAUGUGUGUCUAUCCAAUACCUUAUUCUCUAACAAGUAUGUAUGAUUAUUGAUUUAUAUCAACAUACACAUAAUCAUCUCAUGAUUAUCAAUUAAUAAUCAUACUAGUCAUAUUUUAUUAUUAUCAUCAUAAUAAUAAGUAACUAGGAUGUUAAUUAUUAUUAUGUAACAUGCAAACAAAUAAUAAUGAUAAUAAAAAUCUCUUUUAUUGAUAAACAAAAUAACAUAUAAAAAGGUGCAAGAUAAUGGUGUAGGGCAAAUACACUAACCGUCAUGAUAAGAGAAAAUAAGCAAAUCACAGAAGGUGUAAUGGAUGGUCUGGUAAGCAGGGUGAAAACUGGAAGGGACUAUUUAAGGUCUCGAACGUUAUUCGCCCAGGGUCUUAUAUGCUGGCCAAAUUAGAUUGCCGAGUCAUGGAGAAUUUGUAAUUUGAGAAAAUUUUAUUAAUAACAGUUAAUGAGGUAUUUUUCUUUGAUGUGUUGUGAUUCAGUGACAAGAAUCGAUGGAUUGCCUUCUUCAAAAAGUUUAAAGAGCACUCUUCAAAGACCAAGCGUCUGACCCAUAUAAAUAAAGCUUCUAGGCCAAUAAGUCAAAAAUCUGUCAGGUCAGAAAUCUUAGCGUUGGACUGCAGAAAUAUAAACAAAAGCUUCUAAGCCAAUAAGUCGAUAAUCCUUCAGGCUAGAAGUUCGAGCAUUGAAUCACAAAAAUAUAAACAAAAGCUUCUAGACCAAAAAGUUGAAAAUCUAUCAGGCGAGAAGUCCAAGUGUUGGACCGUGAAAAUAUAAACAAAAGCUUCUAGGCCAAUAAGUCAAGAAUCUGUUAGGCUGAAAGACCGAGUAUCGGACCCAUAUAAAAAAAAUAUUCUAGGCCAUAAGUCGAGAAUCCGUUAGGCCGGAGGAUCGGGCGUUGGACCCAUUAAACAAAGGCAUUCAUGCCAGACCAUAAGUCGGAAAUCUUUUAGGCCAGAAGACCAGGUGUUAGCCCCACUUUAUAAGAUAUUUUUACAACAUUUCAUGAUAAGUCUCAAGGCGGGAAUAUGCCAGGCUAAUCAACCAGGUAUUGGUCUCGUUUCACGAGAAGUUUCUAAUGCAUUUAAUGCCAAACCUCAAGGUGGGUAUAAGGUAGGAUGACCUACUGAGUAUUAGUUCCGCUUCAUGAGAAGUUUCUAAGGCAUUUAAUGCCAGGUAGCAAAGCGGAUAUACGCUAGGCUGACCUAUCGGGUGUUAGUCUCGAGAAGUUUCUAAGGCAUUUGAUACCAGAUCACAAAGUGGGUAUACGCCAGGCUAAUCUGCCGAGUUUUAUUCUUGUUUCACAAGAAGUUUCUAAGACAUUUGAUGCCCAGGCCUCAAGGCGGGUAUGAACUAGGUCAUGCGAUUAAAAACAUUGGUCCCAUCUCACAAUGAGAAUCACAGGCAUAUGUCGCUUCUCUUAUAAUUACUUCCAAAGAUUUAGGACUUUUUGCAAAAGAGGAAAGCCCAUUAUAGGCUGACAAGACUUUUUGACGAUUGACGAAGGCAGGACAGGCUGCCAAGUGAGCAAAUGAAGUUUGCAAGGAGCUUGCAAGGACUAGAAAAAUUCCCAGAAACUUGUUACGGCUAGGAAAUGCACAGAACCUCAAUAGGGCUGGAAAAAGCCAAGUAGCUCAUUAAGGCUAAAAAAUACUCGGAAAUUUGUCAAGGCAAGAAAAUUCCCGGAAGCUUAAUAGGGCUGGAAAAGGCCAAGGGCUCGUCAAGGCUAGAAAAAUGUCUGGAAGCUUGUCGGAGCUCGAAAAUACUCGGAAGCUCAUUAGAGCUGGAAAAAUACGCGGAAACUCGUUAGGACUAGGGGUGUAAACGAACCGAGCCGAGCCGAGCUUUGAAGAGCUCAAGCUUGGUUCGUUAAAAUUUUUUCGAGCUCGAGCCGAAUUCGAGCUUUACUCGUAUCGAACUCGAGCCGAGUAUUAAGAAGCUCAAGCUUGGCUCGUUUAGCAAACGAGCUUAGACGAAUCGAGCUUUUAUCGAGCUGAGUCGAGUUUUUAUCGAGCUGAGUCUCAAAUAGUUCACGAGUAAUUUAAUUUAUUUACAUGUAUAAUGAGUUUUAGUUUAAAACUGAUAAGUUUAAAACUAAAAUAAUUUUAGUUAAAUAAGUAUAUCUAUAAAUUAGCAUGUAAACUUAUAAAGAUGAGUUUUUAAAUCUUAAUGAUCUAAAUAUAUGCAAGUUUAAGAGUAUAACUAAACUAUAUAGACCUGAAUUUUAAAAAAUUCAGAUUUGGCUCAUGAAAGUAUAUGCAGGGUUUAGUUUAUUUCUCUUAUGAUAGUAAUUUCAGUUUACUUAACGAGACUGUUCACGAACCUAUUCGCGAGCCUGCUCAUGAACUCAGAAAUGAGUCGAGCUCACGAGCCUUAACGAGCCGAAUACUAUGGAGCUCAAGCUUGGCUCGUUUACUAAACGAGCCUAAAAAUUAAGCUCGAGCUUGGCUCGUUUAGAAAUCGAGUCGAGCUCGGUCGAGCUUUUAUCGAAUCGAACCUUGAAUAGCUCACGAACGGUUUGGCUCAUUUACACCCCUAGUUAGGACUGGCCGUUAGAGCUAUGAAAAUACAAGGAGCUCGAAAAUGCUCAGAAACUUUGUCAUGGUUGAAAAAAUACACGGGAACCCAUCAAACGGUAAGGAAGACUGUUAGGGCUAUAAAAAGUCAAGGAGGUCGUUAGGGCUGAGAAAAUGCUUGGAAGUUUGUAAGGCUAAAAAAAUACAUUGAAGCUCAUCAGGGCUGUAAAAGGCCUCGUGGACUCAGCUCGUUUCCAAGUUCAUGAGUAGGGUCUUAAUCAAUCACAUUAAAUAAGCUGAUAUUAAUAUUUUAAGGGAAAAAAUUGUUCGUAAAUUAUUCAAAAUUAAAUUUGAUAAAAAAACCGACCAGCUUAAACUCGUUUGGUAAACGAAUCAAACUUGAACUUAUUAAUACUUGAUUUAAGUUCGAAAUGAGUAAAAUUUGAGUUCGAAAAAAUUUUAACAAAUCAAAUUUAAACAGAAGAAAUCUCAUUUUUGCCCUUAAACUUUAUGGCAUGUCCAAAUAAAUCCAAAAUCAAGUUUUGACUCAAUUAAUUCAAACUUUUUUGUUUAAGCUCAAAUAUGCCAUUUUUGCUUUAAAAAAUUUUUAAAAAAUAUAUUUUUUUAAAAUUUUUAUUAUUAAAAUAUUAAUUAUAUAUAUAUAAAUAUUUAAUUAUUUAUGAAGUCUAAUUAAAAUAAAAAAUAAUACAUUCGGCGUAAUUGUUAGCACAAAUUCAUAAAUCAAAAGCAAUAUAAAUUUAAGAAAUUAAAAUUUCAAAUCAGAUAAUACAUUCUAAGUUUUUCUACAAAAUCAAGAAACCUCAUCUAAAUAAAUACAAAUCAUACAAACCCAAAUUGAUAAAUUUUAUAUAAAUCCAAAUAAAUGAAGAGUCAAAAUAAAGUAAAUCUAGAUCGAAUCCUCAUAUAGUUAAAUUCGAAACACUAAGAAAAACAAAUAUAAAUUUAUAAUCCAUUCAAUAAACCUAAAAACCCUAAAAGAUAAAAAUUAAAUUAAUAACUUUAUAAGUAUAAAUCGCCAGUGUCAUGUCACUAAUAUAUUUUUCAUUGAACGAUACUAUGCAAAUCAUUAUCACACAAACCAAUCUUGAAAUUAAAUUUAGUUGUCGUGAUAUGCAAAAUUGAUAUUCGUUAGUGUUUUGUGUUUUGUUAAGAUACGUAGCUUCCAAAAUAUGGGAUAACUAACAAAAUAAUCAUAUAAAAUUUAUACUCACUUAACACGUCUUACGGAUAAUGAAAAGGACCGCUUAACAGAAAAAUAACUUUUUUUUAUAUAGUUGACUCUAUUUUAUAUGAAUAAAUAUAUAAAAAUUUAUAAAAAUUUAACACUAUUUAUUUUUUUUAUAAUUUUAUUAAAUUUAUGUAAAAAAUAUUAAUAUUAUAAGAAUUUAUAUAAUAUAAGAUAACUUAAAAAACAAAAUAAUCACAUCAAAUUUAUACACACUAUUACCACAUGUCUUAAUUUGAUGAAAAGGACCAAUCAUAUUAAAAACGACCUUUUUACAUGUGGUGCCCUCUUAUNNNNNNNNNNNNNNNNNNNNNNNNNNNNNNNNNNNNNNNNNNNNNNNNNNNNNNNNNNNNNNNNNNNNNNNNNNNNNNNNNNNNNNNNNNNNNNNNNNNNNNNNNNNNNNNNNNNNNNNNNNNNNNNNNNUUUUUUUUUUUUUUUUUUUGAAAAAGUCUCCUAUUAUUAUUAAUGGGCCACCUCUCUUCAAAACAGUUAAAGAAUAUAAUUAUCCAGUGAAAUGUCCAUGGAAUCAUGGCGAUGUGAUGAAUAUAUGUACAUUUAUUAAAUAUUUUAAUUAUAAUGUAACUUUUUUUCAUUUAAUUUUCCAUCAUUGUUUUAAUUUAAUUAAUUAAUAAUUUAAUUUGAAUAGUCUUUCACAUAUUUUAUGAACAUUUUUAAUUAAAUUAUCAAAUUAAGCCAAACUAAAAUACUUUAUUUUAAAUUAUAAUAAUAAUAAUAAUUACAUAAUUGAAUGAUAAUUAAGAGUCAAUACCAUAAAAAAGCAAUUACUUUUAAUUAAAUACAUAGGUUACAAUAUUUAUUAACAUAAAAUAAAAAUCAAAUGAUCAUGUAACGAAAUAAAUUUAAUAUAAAAUAAAAUUAAAGAAAAAAUUUAUUAAAAAUAUUUUUAUAUAUCAAAUAAUUAAUUUAGUUUUAAUAUUUUUCACUUUAACUAAUUUUCUGAAUUAAUUUUUAAUUUAAUUAAUGAAUUAAGUUGUAAUUUUAUUUUUUUAAUUUAAUAUUUUUUUAUCAACUAGUUUUUAUUAGUAUUACAAAUAAAAUCCAUAAAUUUAAUUACCUUAACCUUGUGCAUGUAAAGUUGAGGCCCUUGCCUAAUAGAACUCCUCUGUCAUUUUGUAGAUAAGCAGAUUUUUUAAUUUCAAAUGAUGUGAUUAACAGAUUUAUUUCUCUCACUAUGCUCAAAUUAUUCACUUAUUCCACCAAGUGCAAACUUAGAAUAACUUGUUAUAAAUAUUGAUGAACAUAACUAAGGGUACUACAAAAAAAUAUAAUUUUUAAUGACAAAAAGAUAACGAUUAAUUUAAUUUUUUUAAAAAAUAUAUAUAUAUAAUAAUUAAUAAUGUAAUUUAUUUUAAAUUUCACGUAAAAAAUAGAAUGAAUAAAAUAUAAUCUAAAAUCAUAUUAAUUAUUAUUAAUAAAAAAUAAAUUUAUCAUUAUUGUUAUAAUUUUAACGAUCGAUUAUAGUAUCGUUCUAAUUAAUAUUAAUGACUGAUGUAUAAUAUUUUUAUUAAAAAUUUCUAAUGACGGAAUCUCUAAUGACGAUGGAAUAAAAUUAUCACUAAAUUUAUCGUUAGAGAUUUUUAACGAUUAAUUUUUAUUAUUUAAUGAUAGAUUUUUUCACAUUAGUGAAUAUUUUUUUUAUAAUUUAAGAAAUUAAAAUGGAAAAAGUGAAGCUUGUUGUGUAAAUCUAAAGGAAAAUGCUGAGUGAUGUCAGAUGAUUUUUAACUUACACUUCAACAAGUAUUAUAAUUAGCAUUACAAAAUUUUAAAGCGAUAUUAAUUCUACUGUUAAAUUAACUAAUAUAACAGCAAUAUGAAUAAAUAUUAAUUACUAUCAAUGAUAUAUAAAAAGAUAUAAUAAUCAAAAAAUUAUUGAUAUUAAUAAAAAAAAUUCUUUUAACAGUAAUAUUUAUUGUUGUUAUUAAUAAUAUUUUAGCAGUAAUCAUAAUUUUCUUGUAAAAUAUUUAUGAUUAUAAUUUUGUAACAAUAGUGUUAUUUAUAAUAGUAAAUUUUAUAUUUGUAGCAGUAAAAAUUUUUUCACUUUGAGUUUAGCAUUUCUUGUAGUGCCAGUUAUUUAAAGUCAUUUGAAAUCGUAAAAUUGAAAUUAAGUAAAAAUAACUAAAUAAAUAAAUACAGGAAAUUAAUAUGUAAGAAAUACCAUAGAUGUUGGUACAGUGCUUGAGAUAUGGUAAGGCUGUUAAGGGACCAUCUAACUCUGGAGUCCCAGACUUUUGAGAAAUCAUUCUCUCCAUUUCUGGGAUAUUUCCUGCAAUAGCAGAGAAUGUGGGGAGGGGGGACCUUUGAUUCCUUGCUCUCUAAUAAGCUUAUUAGUUUUAUAGCUCUCAUGCUUCCACCACAGACAUAACUAAACAAAUAAUGAUGAAAAAACUCCAUAAAAUAAGAAAAUCUUCAAGGGAAAGAGGGAAAACUAUUUAUUUUUAUAUUUUAAAGGAUUAAAAAUAAUUUUUUAUUUGAUUAAAUAAAAUUCACAAAAAGAACUAAAGAGUGAUAAACCUUUAACAUUAUAUUAAAAUAAUAAAUUAUUUAACAAAAUAAGUGACGUUUUAGAAUAAGUUUCCUAUUAUUAAUUUUUUUAAAUAAUAUUUACUAAUAUCAACAUAAUUUAACUUCAAUAAUAGCUUAAAUAUUUUAAAUUUGUUAAAAUUAGUUGCAGUAGUGUUAAAAUCAAAGUUAGGAUCAUGCAUGGUUCCAAAUAUUUACAUAUUAUAUCUUUUAUUUUUAUAAUAAUGUAAAAUAAUAAUCAUCCAAAUUAAAUUAUGAGUUGUUAAAAUAAGAUAAAAUUAUAUAUGUUCAUUUGGAUAAUGUAGAAAUAUAAUAUUUUGUUUGUUGUUAUAUUUCAGGAUAGAGAUUACAACAUAUUUAUACAUGAGACCGUAUCUAAACAGAAAGGAAAAUCAAGCCUAUAAUUAUACAAUCCCUAAAAUUAAGCAAUUAACCCAUCUAUUAAUAUUUACUUCCUAUAUUAACCUAUUUACUUCAUACAACUUAUAAUACUCCCCUUUAAGUUGGAGUAUAAAUGUUAAUAAUGUCCAACUUGUUAUAUAUAUAAUCAACUUGUCCCAUACAACUUAGCAGACACCAAAUUUGUGAAUCAAACUUUUUCCAAUAGUUGACGUAUCCACAAAACUUCACAAACAGCUUUUGCCAUGACUCGACAUUCAGGUUCAGCACUAAAACGGGAGACCUCAUUUUCUCAGCUUGGUAAAAUGCCUUACACACAUCAUAAAUACGGGAAAUAUUCCCUUCGCCGGAAUAUAGAAAUUCUAAAUACUCUAUUAAUUCUUUAACAAAUUUAGAAUGGAUAAUAAGACUAAUCACCUCACUAUGAAUAGAAUUUUGAAUCUACAGAAACAAACGAGUAUCAUCCCUCAUCCAAUCUCUAUGAGUUUCAUCAGUAGAAGGAUUCUUGGUAAGAUGAUCAUUCAUUUCAAUAUUUCGUAAAUAAAUACGGAUAUUCUUACUCCAAUCCAAAAAAUUAGAUCUAUUUAAUUUGUAUUCAGUGAUUUUAGUCAUUACAAGAAUCACAUUGGUUUUAACUUCAAUUAUAAAGACAACCAACUCAAAACAAUCAAAAUAAACAAAGUACCCGUGAACAGUAACCGAUGAACAUUACUCGUGAACAGUACCCGAUGAACAGUACUCGUGAAUAGUACUCGAUGAACAGUAACAAUACUCGUGAAUAGUACUCUAUGAAUAGUAACAGUACUCGUGAAUAGUACCCGAUGAACAGUAACAGUACUCGUGAAUAGUACUCUAUGAACAUUAACAGUACUCGUGAACAGUACCCGAUGAACAAUUCCUGUGAACAAUUCCCGUGAACAAUGCUCGAUGAAUAGAGCUCUAAGUCUCCAAAUGUUACCCUUUAUGGAUAACCCAAAUGAACAGUGCUGAGUCUUCAAAUGUUACCCUUUAUGGGUAACCCAAAUGAACAGAACCCUAAAUCUCAAAAUAUUAUCCUUUAUUGGUAAUCCAAAUGAACGGAGUCCUAAGUCUCCAAAUGUUACCCUUGAUGAGUAACCCAAAUGAACAAGCCCUAAGUCUCCAAAUGUUACCCUUUUAUGGGUAACCUAAAUAAAUAAAACCCUAAGUCUCCAAAAGUUACCCUUUAUGGGUAACCCAAAUGAAUAAAGCCCUACGCCUCCAAAAAACUUUAAAUCUCUAUUGGUGAGACUUUGAUACCAUGUAGAAAUAUAAUAUUUUGUUUGUUGUUAUAUUUCAUGAUAGAGAUUACAACCUAUUUAUAUACGAGACGGUAUCUAAACAGGAAGGAAAAUCAAGCCUAUAAUUAUACAAUCCCUAAAAUUAAGCAACUGACCCAUCUAUCAAUAUUUACUUCUUAUAUUAACAUAUUUACUUCCUAUAACCUAUAACAGAUUAAAAUCGGUCCCUUAUCCUUUUCUCUUUAAAAAAAAAAUCUUUCUUUUCUCUCUCAAGAUGGGUGGCAAUUCACGAGCUGCUGCUAAGAUUGCUAUUAAUGAGGGCAAUAUCAUUUCUUGCGCUCCAGACAGUGGACAAAACAUACCCUCUAUGGUCAACGAAGUAGAUCUCAAUAAUAUGAACAAUGAGAAAUGUUUCAAUACAUCAAAAGGUUGCAAGCUACUCUCGAGCAUUACAAAGCUUUGGGGAAGCAUUAUUUAUGACUCCAGGGCAAGGAGGAAGCUUCCACUGAUACCCUAAGAAUUCGGAUAGAUGCAAUCCAAGCGCAGUCCAAAGGAAAGGCCAAACUGAAGGAUAAAGAGUCAUCGGAUGAGACUCCAAAGAACAUUGACUGGAAGCUUAUUCGAGCCGUGCAAAGGUACCAGAAGGAGUAAGAGAAAGACUAGGUACCAGAAGGAGUAAGAAGAAUACUAUAGUCUGGACAAUGUUUCGCCCCUAUUAGAUUAGAUCUUAGAAGAAAUUUUCUUAACCAAGUUCAAACUGCCAAGUUUAGAGAAAUAAGAUGGAACAUCAAAUCUCAGAAGUCACAUGAGAAAAUCUCAGAAGUCACAUGACAAUCUUUAGGACGCCAUACAGUUUCAAGUUAUCAAAACUUCGUAUUGUACCGAGUGUUUCUAUUAACACGACUUUCGUAUUAUGCCGAUUAAUAAAUUUACAAUAUUUAUUAACAUAAAAUAAAAAUCAAAUGAUCCUGUAACGAAUUAAAUUUAAUAUAAAAUAAAAUUAAAGAAAAAAUUUGUUAAAAAUAUUUUUAUAUAUCAAAUAAUUAAUUUAAUUUAAUUUUAAUAAUUUUCACUUUAACUAAUUUUCUGAAUUAAUUAUUGAUUUAAUUAAUGAAUUAAAUUGUAAUUUUAUUUUUUAAUUUAAUAUUUUAUAACUACCUAUUCAUAUUUUAUAACUUAUGUAAUAAUAAUUACUCAUUCUAUUCCAUAAUUUUUCAACAUCUUUUUAUUAAUGAAUUAAUUUUUAUUUUAUUUUCUUUUUCUCUCUCAUUAAUUUUUUUUAUUUCACGUAUUAUAAUAUUAUUGAAUUAAUUGAAUUAUUGUACAUAACCGUUGUAUUGUAAAAUCACGUAUUAUAAUUACCCAUAAAGCAGUUUUUGUUUACAAGAAAUUAUUUUUAAUACUAAAGUACAUGAACAUAUUGCAUGAGAACUUAUUACAUGAAGCUCAACUUUCAAGCAAAGCACUCAUAUCUUUUGAAUAAGGAGAUUCACACCAUGCUCAGGCUCCAAAAGCAGACCAUAAGUAGGUGAGUGUCGAUAUUUAGGAGAGAUAGUAAGUUUGAAAUUAGAGAGUAUGACAGCGAAAAACACUUUCAAUUCUAUUAAAGCCAAGUUCUGUCCAGGACACACUCGAGCUCCCAAUCCAAAAGGUAUAUAGGCUUGUGAAGACUUGCAAGCUCCAGUAACUCCAUUAGUGAACCUCUCAGGAUUAAACACGUCUGCAUCAGCUCCCCAAUAUUCAGGAUUACGAUGCAAUGCUGGUAGCCAUAUCCAAAUGUCCAUUCCUUUUGGAACCUUCAACUCACCAAGCUUCACAUUUUGCAUUGCCUCUCUUGAAACCAAUGUCACUCCUGGAUAAAGCCUCAGAACCUCUU